rnacentral:rRNA from 1 species
AGUGAACGCUGGCGGUAGGCCUAACACAUGCAAGUCGAACGGCAGCACAGUAAGAGCUUGCUCUUACGGGUGGCGAGUGGCGGACGGGUGAGGAAUACAUCGGAAUCUACUUUUUCGUGGGGGAUAACGUAGGGAAACUUACGCUAAUACCGCAUACGACCUACGGGUGAAAGCAGGGGAUCUUCGGACCUUGCGCGAUUGAAUGAGCCGAUGUCGGAUUAGCUAGUUGGCGGGGUAAAGGCCCACCAAGGCGACGCUCCGUAGCUGGUCUGAGAGGAUGAUCAGCCAAACUGGAACUGGGACACGGUCCAGACUCCUACGGGAGGCAGCAGUGGGGAAUAUUGGACAAUGGGCGCAAGCCUGAUCCAGCCAUACCGCGUGGGUGAAGAAGGCCUUCGGGUUGUAAAGCCCUUUUGUUGGGAAAGAAAAGCAGCAGGUUAAUACCCCGCUGUUCUGACGGUACCCAAAGAAUAAGCACCGGCUAACUUCGUG